rnacentral:tRNA from 1 species
GCCUCCUUAGCUCAGUUGGUAGAGCAGCUGAUUUGUAAUCAGCAGGUCAACGGUUCGAGUCCGCUAGGGGGCU